CCCUUAGAUGUCCUGGGCCGCACGCGCGCUACACUGAACGGAUCAGCGCGUUUUCCCUUCCCGAGAGGGACGGGUAACCUGCUGAACCCUGUUCGUGGUAGGGAUCGGGGCUUGCAAUUAUUCCCCGUGAACCAGGAAUGCCCAGUAAGUGCAAGUCAUAAGCUUGCGUUGAUUACGUCCCUGCCCUUUGUACACACCGCCCGUCGCUACUACCGAUUGAACGUUUUAGUGAGGUACUCGGACUGAGCCUCAGAAGAUUCACGUCUUUUGUGCUGCUCGGGAAGAUUCCCAAACUUGAGCGUUUAGAGGAAGUAAAAGUCGUAACA
rnacentral:rRNA from 1 species